UACGUAGGGUGCAAGCGUUAAUCGGAAUUACUGGGCGUAAAGCGUGCGCAGGCGGUGAUGUAAGACAGGUGUGAAAUCCCCGGGCUUAACCUGGGAACUGCAUUUGUGACUGCAUCGCUGGAGUGCGGCAGAGGGGGAUGGAAUUCCGCGUGUAGCAGUGAAAUGCGUAGAGAUGUGGAGGAACACCAAUGGCGAAGGCAGCCUUCUGGGCCAACACUGACGCUCAUGCACGAAAGCGUGGGGAGCAAACAGG
rnacentral:rRNA from 1 species